AUCUUGAAGUCCAAAAAGGAGGUGCUCCACCUCCACUUCAUUUCAGCAAUCAAUCAGUCAAUUGGAGUAUCAAUUUGGGGGUAAAUCAUCAAUCGGGAAAUGGGGAAGCCAUUGGGAAAUACGGGAGAGUUUUUCAGGAGAAGGGACGAAUGGAGGAAGCAUCCUAUGUUGACUAAUCAGUUCCGCCACGCUUUCCCUGGACUUGGCAUCGCCGUUGUAGCUUUCAGCAUUUACUGUGUCGGCGAAUUUGCUUACAACAAGAUGUCUACUCCUUCUCACUCCACUUCUGCUUCUCACUCGCACUGAGCUCUAAUUUUCUCUUUUGGGUUUUGAUUUGCUGGGCUGCAAUCUCAGUUGCAUAAUGUUUUAGACAGUUGCUGGUGAAGUGGCAGUGCAAGAACGGGGAUGACAAUGCAUCCCUUUAGUUGUUUUUCUGUCAUCAAUAAGAUAUUUAACAAACAUGUACUUGUUGCCUCUAAUUUGUUGAGACUUGUGUUGGAACAAGAUCAAUGAGCUGUUUUGUGGUUUA